CCCGCCGGCCGCAGACUGUGUCCCCCCACCGCCAGAGCCCGGGCGGCCCGGAGGGCCCUGGCAUCUGACCGGAGGAAAUGCACACGCUGGGGCCGCUGCGCACGUAGGGAACGCCGCGCAGGCCCCACGCGGGACGCCCGAGUCCACUCCCGACACGGGACAUGCCUGCGGAAUGCCGGAAGGCUCAGCUCUCAAAAACAGACUCAAUCACAGAUAAAGAGGGCCUUGAGUAUGACAGACACAAGCUGAAAUGAAUCUUCUCUAGCAUAUAGAAUAUCCAGACCACCUGUUGUUUGCUUCAGAGUGAGACAUUAUCUUUUGUAUUAGACAGUAACAAGCCUGCCCUUUGUCCCAGAAGAAGACAGUGUUUCUAUAUCCAAGGCUGUCCGUUAUACAAGCACGUAUACAUGGAUGUCUGGAACAAAGAGACAGUCAAGACCUCGCUCACCAGAUGGGCAGAAAUGGAAGUGAUCCACAGAGAAUUCUCCUCUGACAACGUCACAGCUUUACCUUGAUACCAAAACCUGACAAAGAUAUUAAAAGAAAGGAAAGUUCAUUGGCCAAAGAUUUUCAUCAAUACAGAUGCAAAAUUCUAAACAGUAUUAAGAAACUGAGUCUGGCAAUAUAUUAAAAUAUUAAGAAAUAAAUUAAUGAUUUAUUCUAGGGAAUAAAGUUUAA